UUCUUAUGGUAACUAGUCAUCUUAAGGAUGUGCUCUCUCACCCCAGAAACACCAUCAUACUGAGUGUUAGCAAGCAGCCUCAGAUAGUUACCCUUUUCUGCCUUAUCUACCUUCUUAAAAGUUCUUCCAACAGCUGCCAAGUAAUCUUUGGCCUUAUCACAUGCAGGGAUGCUAUCUCUAGUUGUUCUAUCAAUGGUGUAUUUCAUUGUAUCCAGACAGUGUCUAUUGGAUUCAUCUCAAGCUGCCCA
rnacentral:lncRNA from 1 species